rnacentral:rRNA from 1 species
UACGAAGGGGGCUAGCGUUGUUCGGAAUUACUGGGCGUAAAGGGCGCGUAGGCGGCGUGUCAAGUCAGGCGUGAAAGCCCCGGGCUCAACCUGGGAACCGCGCUUGAGACUGGCAUGCUCGAGUUCGGGAGAGGAUGGUGGAAUUCCCAGUGUAGAGGUGAAAUGCGUAGAUAUCUGGAGGAGCACCGGUGGCGAAGGCGGCAUCCUGGACCGGUAUUGACGCUGAGGCGCGAAAGCCAGGGGAGCAAACGGG